AUUGAACGCUGGCGGCAGGCCUAACACAUGCAAGUCGAACGCGUGGCGGACGGGUGAGGAAUGUCUGGGAAACUGCACGAUGGAGGGGGAUAACCCCGGGAAACGGUAGAGAAUAGCGCAUACCAACGGAUGUGCCCAGAUGGGACUUGCUAGUAGGUGGGGUAACGGCUCCCCUAGGCGACGAUCCCUAGCUGGUCUGAGAGGAUGACCAGCCACACUGGAACUGGGACCCGGUCCAGACGCCUACGGGAGGCAGCAGUGGUGAGUAUUGCACACUGGGCGCAAGCCUGAUGCAGCCGUGCCGCGUGUAUGAAGAAGGCCUUCGGGUUGUAAAGUACUUUCAGCGAGGAGGCGUUACUCGCAGAAGAAGCACCGGCUAACUCCGUGCCAGCAGCCGCGGUAAUUC
rnacentral:rRNA from 1 species